rnacentral:rRNA from 1 species
GGCGAAGCGCGAGGCAGAGCAAAUCCCCAAAAGCCGUCUCAGUUCGGACUGCAGUCUGCAACUCGACUGCACGAAGUCGGAAUUGCUAGUAAUCGCGGAUCAGCAUGCCGCGGUGAAUACGUUCCCGGGUCUUGUACACACCGCCCGUCACACCAUGAGAGCCGGAAACACCCGAAGUCCGUAGCCUAACCGCAAGGGGGGCGCGGCCGAAGGUGGGUUUGGUAAUUGGGGUGAAGUCGUAACAAGGUAUC